CCUACGGGAGGCAGCAGUCGAGAAUCAUUCACAAUGGGGGAAACCCUGAUGGUGCGACGCCGCGUGGGGGAAUGAAGGUCUUCGGAUUGUAAACCCCUGUCAUGUAGGAGCAAAUUAAAAAGAUAGUACCACAAGAGGAAGAGACGGCUAACUCUGUGCCAGCAGCCGCGGUAAUACAGAGGUCUCAAGCGUUGUUCGGAAUCACUGGGCGUAAAGCGUGCGUAGGCUGUUUCGUAAGUCGUGUGUGAAAGGCGCGGGCUCAACCCGCGGACGGCACAUGAUACUGCGAGACUAGAGUAAUGGAGGGGGAACCGGAAUUCGCGGUGUAGCAGUGAAAUGCUUAGAUAUCGAGAGGAACACUCGUGGCGAAGGCGGGUUCCUGGACAUUAACUGACGCUGAGGCACGAAGGCCAGGGGAGCGAAAGGGAUUAGAUACCCGAGUAGUC
rnacentral:rRNA from 1 species